rnacentral:rRNA from 1 species
UACGUAGGGAGCAAGCGUUGUUCGGAUUUACUGGGCGUAAAGGGCGCGUAGGCGGCAGAUCAAGUCAGCUGUGAAAUCUCCGAGCUUAACUCGGAACUGUCAGCUGAUACUGUUUUGCUAGAGUGCGGAAGGGGCAAUCGGAAUUCUUGGUGUAGCGGCGAAAUGCGUAGAUAUCAAGAGGAACACCUGAGGUGAAGACGGGUUGCUGGGCCGACACUGACGCUGAGUGCGCGAAAGCCAGGGGAGCAAACGGG